GGAUGAGAAUGGCAGUCUACCAGCACAGAGUGGCACAAUACUACAACUCUCACAUCCGAAGAAAGAAAUUCAAAGUCGGUGAUCUAGUCCUGCAUCGCAUCGAGAUAUUACAACCUAUGGAAUGAGGAAAGUUGUCUCCAAAAUAGAAAGGCCCCUAUCUGGUGGACAAAGUCAUCAAACCUAAAAUCUAUCACCUAAAGCAACUAGAUGGAGCUCCCCUACCUCGAUCAUGAAACUCAAAGAACCUCC
rnacentral:lncRNA from 1 species